rnacentral:lncRNA from 1 species
ACACAUCUCUGAUUUUUAUAUUUAGGGUCCAAUUAAUUUAAUGGUUGAGAAACAAACAGAAAUAUUCUCUAUUUUACUGUUUUUUCUAACAUUGUAGCAGUAGCAUUUUUAAUUAACUUUAAUUGUCUAAUAGUGUUUUAGGAAGGCCAAUAAAAGGAGCAUUGGAAUAGUCAGCUCUGCAAGAAAUAAAGACAUAAAUGAGCUUCUGCAGAUCUUGCCGGGGUGCAUAAUCUCUCAGUUUAGCUGUAUUUCUGAGAUACCCGAAAGGCUGAUAUAAUCGCAGCUGUAAUAUAUAUAUAUAGUGAAACUAAGGUCCUCAUCCAUCAUUGCACACAUAUAUAUCACACACAGGGGUGGAUCUAGAAGGGUGGCAUGGGGUGGCAAGUGCCACCCUAAAAUGAUCCCUUGCCACCCCAGUUUUGCAUAUGACAGUGUUGUUUAUUAAAAUAGCAUUAACGGUUCGAGCGUAGUUACAGUCAGCAGUGAAUAUAAAUGCUAAAACUGAAUAUAUUGCAUAGUGUCCCCCCCUCCACCAUUAACAAAUGGUUCAGCCCAUAGCAGGACCAGCUUUUUUCUUGUUUUCAGUAGCAAGCGAUGCUUAUGAUUGUGCCAGAGCACAUUUUGAACAACACCAUGGGAAUUUCGGAUUUUACACAGGUGGUUGGAUGUUACACUCUGGAAAUGGAAGCAAGUGCGUGCCCCUCCACUGCAUUAUAUGCAUGUACUGAGCAUGCUCAUCAGCAUCUUCCCUCCAUUCCCCUUCAUCAAGUCCAUCUUGCUGGCGGUCAUGUGGAUAUGUCAAGAGAAAGAAAACAAUAAUCAACAUUGACAAACAGCCCGGGCUGAUGUUCCACAGAGCAGAAGUGAUACCAGGAGGCUGGACACAGCAAAUUAUAUUCCAAAAAUACAUUUUCCUGCAAAUUCAGUGAUAAUAAAAAUGAAAAUUUUGUUUUCUGGCUCAGCUCAAGCGUCACAACAAUAAUAAAAAAAAAGAGUAACAUUGCAGUGUGG